AGACAGCAGCAGCCGCGGGAAUACGAAGGGGGCUAGCGUUGCUCGGAAUUACUGGGCGUAAAGGGCGCGUAGGCGGACAGUUUAGUCGGGGGUGAAAGCCCGGGGCUCAACCUCGGAAUUGCCUUCGAUACUGGCUGUCUUGAGUGUGAGAGAGGUGUGUGGAACUCCGAGUGUAGAGGUGAAAUUCGUAGAUAUUCGGAAGAACACCAGUGGCGAAGGCGACACACUGGCUCACUACUGACGCUGAGGCGCGAAAGCGUGGGGAGCAAACAGGAUUAGAGACCCCCGUAGUCCCUGUCUCUUAUAC
rnacentral:rRNA from 1 species